AAACGAAUAGAGGGAAAAGGAAAACUGGACAAAGGAGCCAACUCUGACGCUGUUAGCUCAGUUAAAGACUUUACAAAUAACCCCAACUCAGUACUCAUAAAACUCAGUUAGUUGCUUUAAUAGAUGAAUAAAAGAGAAACAAAUUGUGAAGAGAAUGAUGAAGAACAAUGGAUGGAGAAUUGGGAUAGGAGAAUUGUUAUGUAGUGUAUUCUAUCUAUGUCUACCAUGUGUACUGCACUAAACGACAUAUUGGUGAUGUGCCUGGGAAGUUUCUCAAAGGCAAGAAGAGAAAUGCUAAUUAUAUGUUGGAGAGAUAGCUUAAGAAAAUUAGCGAUGCAAUUAGAGAUGUUGCCGAGUCGAUCCGCUAGGGAAAUGCUGUUAUGGAGAGAGUGCAGGCACAUGUUUAUUCGUGAAGGGAAAUUCUCGAUGAAUUGGUGAACUUAGGAGUUGAGAAACACUUACUCUUUAGUGUUUAUAGCUUCCUUGUUGAAGAUCCCUCGAGGGUAAGAGCGUUCUCCGGUUUCCCGGUGGAGGAACAUAAGGAUUUUCUAAUACAGAUGAUAUAUGGUCCUGAGGAUUUUUGAAGGGUUUUCUUUAGUUACUGGUUUGAGAUAUUGAUCGAGGGACUUUCGACGUCUCUCCUCCUGUGCUUGUACAGUAUUUAGAUGAAUAAAUAUCCUUUCUUCCAUUGGAUUCAUUCAAAUGAUUUCAUGUUUAAUUAAAAUUCUGUAAGUUACCAUUUAUGUUGUGCUUUGUGUAGAUAAUACUGCUCAUGUUUAAGACUUA